rnacentral:misc_RNA from 1 species
UGACUUUAGGCAUCACAGAGAUUUCUUUAGACAAUCCAGGCUUGCUGUAGUAGAUGCUGAUCUAAAUCUGGGUGAACACACUAAUUCAAGGGCUACUGCGAGAGGAAGUCAAAAUCCUAACGAAGAUGUGGUGCUUAUUGGGUUUGAUGAUGCAGAUUCUGAAGAGAGAUUAAGUGACAUAUCCGAUGGUGUACUCUCAAUGGGAACUGAGACUGAUGGUUCAAUCAAUAGUAUUGUAGAGUACACUCUUUUCCCAGAAACUACAAAGCCACCUCCAGAGACCCCUGAGAAGCCCUCAAUUAUACCUGCUAAACUUCCACGGCCUACACAAAAGACGGUGCAAACAGGAUCUUCUCGGAUGUCACUGAAGAAGAGCACCCCUAAAGUCCCGAGUUCUAAAAAACCUCCUUCCGG